GCUGCCGUAGCGCAAUGGUAGCGCGUGAGGCUUCGGUCCUCAAGGUUGCGGGUUCAAAUCCCGUCGGCAGUU
rnacentral:tRNA from 1 species